UUGAACGCUGGCGGCAGGCCUAACACAUGCCAGUCGAGCGGAUGAAGGGAGCUUGCUCCUGGAUUCAGCGGCGGACGGGUGAGUAAUGCCUAGGAAUCUGCCUGGUAGUGGGGGAUAACGUCCGGAAACGGGCGCUAAUACCGCAUACGUCCUGAGGGAGAAAGUGGGGGAUCUUCGGACCUCACGCUAUCAGAUGAGCCUAGGUCGGAUUAGCUAGUUGGUGGGGUAAAGGCCUACCAAGGCGGCGAUCCGUAACUGGUCUGAGAGGAUGAUCAGUCACACUGGAACUGAGACACGGUCCAGACUCCUACGGGAGGCAGCAGUGGGGAAUAUUGGACAAUGGGCGAAAGCCUGAUCCAGCCAUGCCGCGUGUGUGAAGAAGGUCUUCGGAUUGUAAAGCACUUUAAGUUGGGAGGAAGGGCAGUAAGUUAAUACCUUGCUGUUUUGACGUUACCAACAGAAUAAGCACCGGCUAACUUCGUG
rnacentral:rRNA from 1 species